GACGAACGCUGGCGGCGUGCUUAACACAUGCAAGUCGAACGCUGAAGCUCAGCUUGCUGGGUGGAUGAGUGGCGAACGGGAGAGUAACACGUGAGUAACCUGCCCUCUUCUUUGGGAUAACGCCCGGAAACGGGUGCUAAUACUGGAUAUUCACUGAUUCUCGCAUGGGGGUUGGUGGAAAGGUUUUUUCUGGUGGGGGAUGGGCUCGCGGCCUAUCAGCUUGUUGGUGGGGUGAUGGCCUACCAAGGCUUUGACGGGUAGCCGGCCUGAGAGGGUGACCGGUCACAUUGGGACUGAGAUACGGCCCAGACUCCUACGGGAGGCAGCAGUGGGGAAUAUUGCACAAUGGGCGAAAGCCUGAUGCAGCGACGCCGCGUGAGGGAUGGAGGCCUUCGGGUUGUAAACCUCUUUCGCUCAUGGUCAAGCCGCAGCUUUGGGUUGUGGUGAGGGUAGUGGGUAAAGAAGCGCCGGCUAACUACGUG
rnacentral:rRNA from 1 species